CUAGUCUCUCAUAGAAACUUCUGGCCUCUGGACACUGUGGGAGCAACUUUUCCUUUAUUAGACUGUCUCCUCUUUAACUGUACCUAGAAGAUACUUUAGCACAGCAAGCAUCUCUUUUAUGCUUACAUUAUGCAGUUAUGCAGACUUGGUGUACGUCCUUCAAGGACAGUCUAAGAAUCUUUGAUUCUAUUUCUGCUGGAUACAUUGUUGCAGAGAUGUAAGAAGGAAGGACUUAGAAAAGAAUAUUGCAGCAUGACUGGGAAGCCUGUCCUUCAUUACUUCAAUUGAAGAAGAAGAAUGGAGUCCAUCCGGUGGCUCCUGGCAGCAGCUGGAGUAGAGUUUGAGGAAGAACUUUUUGAAACCCAUGAAGAGUUUGAGAAGUUAAUCCAAGGUGGAACCCUGAUGUACGAGCAAGUGCCCAUGGUGGAAAUCGAUGGAAUGACUUUGGUGCAGACCAGUGCCAUCUUAAGAUAUGUAGCUGCAAAAUAUGACUUGUAUGGAAGGAACCUGGAGGAACAAGCCUGAGAAGGAGAUGAACCUUGAAUACAUCCUCCACCGAGCUACAACAAGAUUCUUCCCCGUUUAUGAGAAGGCCCUGAGAGACCACGGGCAAGACUUUCUUGUGGGCAAUCGGCUGAGCUUGGCUGAUGUCCAGCUCCUUGAAGUCAUCUUAAUGGCUGAAGAAUGCAAAGCCAGUGUUCUCUCGGGUUUCCCUCUGCUACAGGACUUCAAGGUGAGAACCAGCCAAAUUCCUACAAUUAACAGCUUCCUCCAACCUGGAAGCCAGAGGAAGCCUCCUUUGGAGGAGCGAUCCAUUGGGACUGCAAAGGACAUAUUCAAAUUUGAAUGAGGACUGUUUCUUAAAAACAUGAGCAAUAUAGUAGCUGAGUAUUAACAGCUACAGAGGCUGGAGUUACUCAGUAAGUAUACUGAGUAACUUGACACUGCAUUCAUAAAAAGACACUCACUAAGUAUAUGGCCAGAGAAAUAUCCUGAAGUUAGUAAUAAAUGUUAGGAAUCUUAGUAUGUUAGCAAUGUUAGAAUGUUAGUAAUGGAAAUAUUAAAUGUGUAAGAGAAAAACUACUAGAAGCUUAUCAAUAAACUACAAGAACCAACUCUUGUUUGAAGUAAGACAGGCUACCAAGACAGAAUUCAGAAAAUCCAAGGAGCCCUCGGCCUUCUGUAUGAUCCUAGAAUAAACUUGUAUGUAGCAAGUGAAA
rnacentral:lncRNA from 1 species